rnacentral:rRNA from 1 species
UACGUAGGGUGCAAGCGUUGUCCGGAAUUAUUGGGCGUAAAGAGCUCGUAGGCGGUCUGUCGCGUCUGCUGUGAAAACUCGGGGCUUAACCCCGGGCCUGCAGUGGGUACGGGCAGACUAGAGUGCGGUAGGGGAGACUGGAAUUCCUGGUGUAGCGGUGAAAUGCGCAGAUAUCAGGAGGAACACCGGUGGCGAAGGCGGGUCUCUGGGCAGUAACUGACGCUGGAGGAGCGAAAGCGUGGGGAGCGAACAGG